UUGCAAUAACCAUAUCUCUUUUCAUAUUUCUACAAAAAUAAAAUAAAAUAAAAAUCAGUUAGUUAUUUUGCUACUGCUUUCGGUAUUGACUUAGGUUGUCACAACCAAGUCUCAAAUAUAAGUAAUAUAAUCUGGAUUCUGCAAUUAAGGCAUGAAAUUACUUUAAAAGGCAGAAUCAGUGAGUCAAGCCCAACCUGUAUGUGCGUCUGGAUCACGUUGUCAGUGGAACCCUCUAUGAUGGAACCCUCUGGGAUGAAAAGGCUAGGCCACAAGUUAUUUUUUCCAUUCAUUACAGCCGCUUUAUUUUGAUGAAAAUCCAAUAACUUUAAUAGAUUUCCCCUUAGCUUACACCAAUGCAAAUGGAAGGAAAAUCAGACCCCAAGCAUUUUAAGGAGAAGAAUGACAAUCGAAUCUCUCUCUCUCAGGUUUUUUCCAAAGGGAGUUACAGUGAAGAUGCUGCAGUUUCCACCUGCAUAUCCACCUGUAUCACCUACAGACCUGCAUGUGUGACCAUGCUGCAGAACCACUGUUUCACCAGAGAAGUUUGUGUGCCUGAGGAUGCUUAAUGAGCAGGAAUACUACAGCACAUAUGGAGAUGCAAAGACUAUUAGUAUCAGGCAAGAGCUUAAAAAAAUCAAGAAUUUCUAUCCUGAAUGGAGGGGAAGGUACAGAUAAGGAGCGCAGGCUGGAAGCUCAGUAUAGCCUCCAAAAGGGACUACAGACCAUGAUAAACAGCUUCAAUUUUUCCUUCAAUCUUGCUAAUUUUGUUAGUAGCAACUGGCUCCAUGCAGGACCACCCAAAAAUCAGAGCAGGUAUCUGAGAGCAUUGUCCAAAUGCUUCUUGAACUCCAGCAGGCUGGGUGCUGUGACCACUGCCCUCGGGAGCCUGUCCCAGUGCCCAACCACCCUCUGGGUGCAGAACCUUUUCCUGAUGUCCACCCUGAUUAGAACACCACAUGCAAUUUAAUGAAAACCAAGAGGAGAAAAUCAAAACAAACCAAUUUUGUUACCUUGUUGUUUAUUGCACUAGACUGCUUGUGUCCCUGGAGAUGUGUUUAAACUCUUCUCUGCAGAUGUACACAGGGCUGCAAAAUGCUUUCAGUGCCUAACCUGAACACAUGUCCUGGUGAGUGCUCUCCCUCCGUAAUGCUGGGACCACAAAAGGGUGGUAGCUUUCAGCUUUAUAUAGAUGCAAAAAACUGAAAUGCACAUCUUCUCAGGGCUCUCAUCCAAGUUCAGCCACUUGUGCUCACAGCAGAGACUGGUGUUACCUGAGGAGCCUCUCUGCUCAUCCCUCUCAAUUAGGCGCUGUGUUUGUGCUCAGCCCCUUACAGAGCUGUGCUGCAGCUGUGGCUGGCCACAGACUCUGCUGACCCUGAUCUGAACCGGCUUAUUUACUUCCUGGCUUGACCUCAG
rnacentral:lncRNA from 1 species